CCUACGGGGGGCAGCAGUGAGGAAUAUUGGUCAAUGGUCGGGAGACUGAACCAGCCAAGCCGCGUGAGGGAGGAAGGUACAGAGUAUCGUAAACCUCUUUUGUCAGGGAACAAAGGCGGGGACGUGUCCCCGGAUGAGUGUACCUGAAGAAAAAGCAUCGGCUAACUCCGUGCCAGCAGCCGCGGUAAUACGGGGGAUGCGAGCGUUAUCCGGAUUUAUUGGGUUUAAGGGGUGCGCAGGCGGUCUGUUAAGUCAGCGGUCAAAGCCCAGGGCUCAACCCCGGCCCGCCGUUGAAACUGGCAGGCUCGAGUUGGAGAGAGGUAUGCGGAAUGCGCGGUGUAGCGGUGAAAUGCAUAGAGAUCGCGCAGAACUCCGAUUGCGAAGGCAGCAUGCCGGCUCCACACUGACGCUGAGGCACGAAAGCGUGGGUAUCGAACAGGAUUAGAUACCCGGGUAGUC
rnacentral:rRNA from 1 species